rnacentral:rRNA from 1 species
GACCCGUCUUGAAACACGGACCAAGGAGUCUAACUUGUACGCAAGUAACAAAGUUUACAUAUAAACUUUCAUGCAAAAUGAAAGUGAAGGCCCCCGCAAGGGGGCUGACGGAGGAUCCCCAGUGAUUGCCCUCCUUGUGUGGGACGGCUGGGGCGCACUCCGGGGGCAUCAUGACUGCAAUUGCCGGUUUGGUGCACCAAGAGCGUACACGUUGGGACCCGAAAGAUGGUGAACUAUGCCUGGCUAGGGCGAAGCCAGGGGAAACUCUGGUGGAGGCCCGUUUGGAUUCUGACGUGCAAAUCGAUCCUCACAGCUGGGUAUAGGGGCGAAAGACUAAUCGAACCAUCUAGUAGCUGGUUCCCCCCGAAGUUUCCCUCAGGAUAGCUGGUGCUCGUUUCAAGAUGAACAAGUUUCAUCCGGUAAAGCGAAUGAUUAGAGGCCUUGGGGGCGAAAUGACCUCAACCUAUUCUCAAACUUUAAAUGGGUGAGAAGCCGGGCUUCCUUGAAUGAAGCCUCGGCAUUCGAAUUGAUAGAGCACCAAGUGGGCCACUUUUGGUAAGCAGAACUGGCGCUGUGGGAUGAACCAAACGUUGAGUUACGGUGCCCGAAUGAACGCAAAUUUGACCCCAUGAAGGGUGUCGGUUGCUCCAGACAGCAGGACGGUGGCCAUGGAAGUUGGAAUCCGCUAAGGAGUGUGU